AUGUGCGGCGGCCGGGGCGGCGGGCCGGCGGCGGCGGCGGCGGGGGCGGGGCGGCGCUCCGGGGCCGCGGGGCAGGGCCGUCCCAGCCCGACCGGGAUCUCCGCCGAGCAGGAAAAAAAAAAAAAAAAAGCAAAAAAAAAACUUUUCACUCGUGACACCGCCCGGAAUCACGGCGCGCAAGUGCGUCCCCGCGGCGGCGGGCCCGGGCCGGGGGCCGGGGGCCGGGGGGGGCAGGGGGGCGCGGGGGGCGCGGGGCGCGGGGUCCCGGCCGCGCUAGGCCUCCGGCUCCGGGUUAUUGUCUCGACAGCGCCCGCCGCGCCCUCCGCCCGCCGCCGCCCCGGGGCCGCCGCCGAGGGGCCGGGCGAGCUCGCGGGCGGCCCCCUCCCCGCCCCGCCCCUCCCGUCCCCGGCCGCCGUCCGUCCGUCCGUCCGUCCCUCCGUCCGUCCCUCUCGGCGCCGCGGCGGGCGGGCCCUCGAGCCGCGCUCUCCUCCCUCUCCCGGCUUCCCGCCGCCGGCCCCUCGCUCCCCGGCUCGCGCUUCCUCCGGGCGGCCGCGGCGGGGGCGCCCCCGGGCGGCGCGGGGGGCCGCGGGGGGCGGGGGGGCGGGGCGCGGGGGUCCUCUCGGGCUCGCGGGGCCGCGGCGGGGGCCGAGGCUGCGUCCCGCGCCGCCGCGCCACCUUCGCUCGGGCUGGCGAGCCUGCGAGGGCGGGAGGGGCGGGAGGGGCGGGGAGGGGGAGGGAGGGAGGGAGAGAAAGGAGGAGCAGGGAGCCGGGCGGAGGGGAGUGCCGGCCUCGCAGGCCGCGCGGCAGCAGCAGCGCCACCGCCACCGCCCCGGCGGGCAGGGGGAGAGACUGCGCGCGGCGGGGCAGGGGCGGGGCGGGGCGGGGCGCCUCCCGCGGGCUUCGCCCCCCCGCCCACGGCCGGGCAGGAGGCCUGCGCGAGCCAGUGCCGGCGCGCGGGGGCGGCGGGGGCGGAGGCGGGGGCGGGGGCGGCGGGGGGCGCGGGGGAGGGCCCGGCGGCGGGGCUGCGCGCGCGAGGCCCAGCUGGGCCGGGACCCCAGCUCCUCCGCGCAGCCGGGGCGCCGAGCCCCCCGCCCUCCCAGCCGCCUGGGCCCCGGCGCACGACGGCCCCGGGGGCGCGGGGUUCAGGUCCAGCCCCGCUCGGCGGGCUGCAGGUAG
rnacentral:lncRNA from 1 species